rnacentral:tRNA from 1 species
GCGCUCGUAGCUCAGAGGAAAGAGCACUGGCCUCCGGAGCCAGUUGUCGCAGGUUCGAAUCCUGCCGGGCGCG